UACGGAGGGUGCGAGCGUUGUCCGGAAUCAUUGGGCGUAAAGGGCGCGUAGGUGGCCCGGUCAGUUCGUGGUGAAAGCGCGGGGCUCAACCCUGCGUCGGCCAUGAAUACUGCCGCGGCUGGAGCACUGUAGAGGCAGGCGGAAUUCCGGGGUGUAGCGGUGGAAUGCGCAGAUAUCAGGAAGAACACCCGUGGCUAAGGCGGCUCUCUAGUACGGUACUGACGCUGAGACGCGAAAAGCGUGGGGGAGCGAACAGG
rnacentral:rRNA from 1 species